rnacentral:rRNA from 1 species
GAUGAACGCUGGCGGCGUGCCUAAUACAUGCAAGUCGAGCGAAUGGAUUGAGAGCUUGCUCUUAUGAAGUUAGCGGCGGACGGGUGAGUAACACGUGGGUAACCUGCCCAUAAGACUGGGAUAACUCUGGGAAACCGGGGCUAAUACCGGAUAACAUUUUGAACCGCAUGGUUCGAAAUUGAAAGGCGGCUUCGGCUGUCACUUAUGGAUGGACCCGCGUCGCAUUAGCUAGUUGGUGAGGUAACGGCUCACCAAGGCAACGAUGCGUAGCCGACCUGAGAGGGUGAUCGGCCACACUGGGACUGAGACACGGCCCAGACUCCUACGGGAGGCAGCAGUAGGGAAUCUUCCGCAAUGGACGAAAGUCUGACGGAGCAACACCGCGUGAGUGAUGAAGGCUCUCGGGUCGUAAAACUCUGUUGUUAGGGAAGAACAAGUGCUAGUUGAAUAAGCUGGCACCUUGACGGUACCUAACCAGAAAGCCACGGCUAACUACGUGCCAGCCGCCGCGGUAA